rnacentral:lncRNA from 10 species
GGGCAAUUUGCAAAGAAUUUUAAAGAGUAUUGAAAUUGCCAAAAACAGAGGAGCAAGAUACAGGCUUGGACCAGAGCUGGAAAUAUGCGGCUACGGAUGUUGGGAUCAUUAUUACGAGUCGGACACCCUCUUGCACUCGUUUCAAGUCCUAGCGGCCCUUGUGGAGUCUCCCGUCACUCAGGACAUCAUCUGCGACGUGGGGAUCUUCCCUGGCCUGUGGCCCCUCCCAGCUGUGAUGUCACCCCGACCCCCACGUCUGUUGUCGCAGUCCUCCUCUGACCCUCCCUUUUAUGGGGACCCUUGCUGGCUGGCCCAGAUUGUCCAGAAUCAUCUCCCAUCUCAAGGCCUGUCACCUCAUCACCCCUGCAGCGCCUCAGCAUUUUUCUGGAUUGGAGGCUCCAUUGAACAAAACAAGAGUUUUAUCAUAAUGUCAUUGAUAACUUCCAUCCUGCAUCGUUUCUUCAAACGGUCCUCAAGGAAGAGGGUGCUGAGUUGGGUCCCCGCCCUCUGUGGUUGGUGGUGCACCAUCCUUAGUUCUGCUCCACAAGGGUUUGCCUUUAUAAGCAAAAUAAAGAAACAGAGUGGUGAAUAGUUUUUUAAAAA